rnacentral:rRNA from 1 species
UACGUAGGGGGCAAGCGUUGUCCGGAAUUAUUGGGCGUAAAGCGCUCGCAGGCGGUCCGAUGCGUCGUGCGUGAAAGACCCCGGCUCAACUGGGGAGGGUCGUGCGAUACGGUCGGACUCGAGGCCAGUAGGGGGACGCGGAAUUCCGGGUGUAGUGGUGGAAUGCGUAGAGAUCCGGAGGAACACCAGCGGCGAAGGCGGCGUCCUGGACUGGUACUGACGCUCAGGAGCGAAAGCGUGGGGAGCGAUCCGG